UGGAGGAAGAAGUAAGUGGCUUGUAAGAACUUACAGCGUUGGAGAGCUGGAUGUUGCAUUGUCUCCCGAGUGUUUUGGGGAAAUAAUAAGUAAUACUAAAGAGCAUUAGUAAUUCUAAUCUCAAAAGCAGAGUUAGCACGCUUUGGGAGUGCUCGUUAUCUGUCUUUUCUUAGCCCUCUUUCUAUGAAGAACAAACAUGGGAAGGGCCCAACCUGUGGUCAGCCUGGGUGAGGCUCACAGGAGCAAGGACAGAGGAAGAAGAGAACUCCAGUGGGGUUGUGCUAUCACUUGCAGUAUUCCUGUGCUGGUCUGGUGUCUUAAUACUAAAUUUGAUUUGUACACUGUAUUUUAUCCUGCAGUUUUCCAGCAAAUCAGCUUUUUGUACAGCAAAGCUCCUUGAAAUAUUCUGUUCAGAACCAAGAGAGAAGCAUUCAAACUACAGUCACGUGAAACUAGGUGUUGGUGUGCAUUAUCUGGGGAAAAUGUGUGAAUGUCCUGGGCUUUAGGGUAGACUGGUCCAUGGAAUGCAGCAGGGAAAAGCUUUUUGUUUCUCCUCUUUAUGCUACUUUGUACUUCAGAGCCGGAGAGUAACUUAUUUUUGGUCUUGUAAAUGGGAUGAAUUUGUUGUCUGAUAAACUGAGAUUAACCAGUUUGGCACUACAGGGGGAACUGUUGGGGCUUGAAGUGGUGAUGGAGCACCUGGUGAAGGGCUGUGGCUGGCCUGGGGAGCACAGGCAAAUGGUUUGCACCUGUGCUCCCCAGCUGGCCAGAAGGGGACUGUCCCAUCUUAUUGGUUGGGCAGUAGUCUCUUAGGGAACGAAGGAAGAUUCAGGUGUCUUUAAUAGCAGUACAACAUGUUCUGCCUCUUCAGACUUGUUUGACUUAGAUUAACAGUAGUUUGACUUGUGUUAAAUUGUCCUUAAAAGCAGAGGAACACUUUGUAUAUAAUUAGAAGGAGAGGAAGUCUCGCAGCACUGUGUGGUGCCGUGGCAAGGUGUACGGUGCUGGUAUCUUCCCAGCAGGGGUUGGAGAAGCAGGGAUUUCUUCUUGAUGUGCACAGCAGCCCUUGCUCAGGUUUGAGCAGGGAAAUAGCCAUUUGGAUUGCUAUAGCUGUGUGAGCUCAGCUUUUUUUUGCGGCAUAAAAGGUCUGAAAGAACACUUGAGGAAAAAAAAAGUACAAAACAAUAAAUUGGGGGCCUUUUAAUUGAAUUAAAUAUUAAUAUGGAUAAUGUGAUCAAUACCAUAUUGACUGUGUUAGCUGCAAUAAUGUUUAAUUCAAUAAGCCUGCGGUGCUGGACCUUUCACUCCCCCUAUUUUUAUUUGCAGCAGCACAGUGCCCAUAUCCCACAUGCAAACAAUAUAGGAAUUGCCCAUCAGCUCCGUCUGCUCUCUGCAUGCCUGGUCCUGCUGCAGAGCUCCAGUCCUGUUCCUCACAGCUGUGUCAAAGCAGGAAGGCCUCCUCCCCUGACGUGCUUCUGAAGAGGUGCCAGCUUCUGGUUUUAAACUCAGCCAACCUUGAAGGAUUUUAUUUGUGGUUGUAGCAGGAGGUUUUUAUUAAAUUAUGCUUCAUGGGUUUUGUUUCACAAAAAAUUGGAGGCAGAUGCUCUCCUCACUUACAGUACGAGUUUUGUGGUCCUGCUGUUUUGCUUGCUGUGCACCUGUUGAAUGAGUUAGUGAAAACAUCCUGAAAUACUUGUCUUGGUUUGUGUUUUUUUUUUUCCCAUGAUAUCUUCGUAUGAGCUCUUUUAAGAGUUUGUGUGGGCUAUUAGUUUGUGUUUUCAGAAAAGCUGCCUGAUAAAAUGGCUCAAUAAUGAGAGAGAGAGAGAAGCCACUCACCAAGUUGUUAGCAGCUCCUGUGGUCUGUGCAGCAGCGGGUGCCGUAGCCAAAUUAGGUAUUUACAUUCCCAAACUUGAGCAUUGGGGUUUUGGAAUGGACGUCCACAGACUCUUGCCUAAAGGAGUAAGCAACCAGGUGCAGCAGCUCCUUGGUAAGAUGAUAUGAGAAUGGUACACACCACUCCAAGGGCAAUGUCUGGAAGAGCUGUCCCUGAUGAAGGCCAGCAGGGUAGUGCCAGCUUUGGAGCAGUUUCUGGGUUGCUCUGUGGUGAUCUGUAACUUGAAGGUGACAAUUUUGCUAUGGAUGUGUGUGAAGAAGUUAGUAGGAGCAGAGGAGGAGAGAAAGUCUUCACAAAUGUGGGAAGUCCUUGCUCACCUCCAUGCAAACUGCAUGCUGGGAUCUUGCAGAGACAAUCAUGCACGCUGGUGAGGCAGGAGGAGAACAGGCUCUGUGUUUAAGCAGGCAAUGUUCAAGAUAGCAAAAAGGUACUUAGGUGGAAGGUAACACUGCUUAGCUUGUGCCCAGCCCAGAUAUGGGGCUGUUUGACACCUGGAGAAAGCCGCAAGGCCAGGAGGCUGUUGGGUCGGUGUGCAGAAGCUCAUGCUUUCAAGGUGAUGGUCUAUAUGUAAUCAUGCCUACCCUUUAUCAUAGAAUGGCUUGGGUUGGAAGGGACCUCAAGGACCAUCAAGUUCCAGCCCUCCUGCCACAGGCAGGGCCACCAACCUCUAGGUUUGGUACUAGACCAGGUUGCCCAGGGCUCCAUCCAACCUAGUCUUGAACACCUCCAGGGAUGGAGCAUCCACAGCCUCUCUGGGCGGUCUGUAAGGCAUUCCUUCAAAGAUUUCACAGUUGCAAAAAAACAUCAGAGUACAAAUCAGAGAAAGACCUGAGAUGUCAUUUUCCCAGAUGGCAACCAGUGACCUGGAGAGGUUCUGCACAGUGAAUGAAGAACUGGGAGAUCCAGCAUCCCAGUUAGUGUUAUCCAGGUCCAAGCUCCUGCCCUGGCUGUCGCAGGUUCCUGCUGAUAGCUCUAGGUGGUAAAUGAAUGGGGGCUGAGGUUUCCUGCAUUUUAGGAGGUUGGCUGGUAGCUGUGACUGGCGAGGAAGCUAAAGUGUUUUCAUCUGUGCCCUAUAGGUGAUAAAUCUUUGUACAUUUAAAAAUAUUUGACCAUGGUGGCAAAACAUGUUUGAGUGCAACAGGAAAAGAUAUAACCAUCCCUUGGGAUGUGUUGCGUAUUCCCACACUUAAUUAGAGACCAUUAAGGUAACUACUGAAAAUGUCUUUGAGUAUUAAGUGAUAGUAUCCACUUCUCCUGGCUUCGUUCUCUCUCUUUCACAUCCUUGAAAGAAAAGCACUUAAGUGAAGAUCUCUUCAUGUAAGGAUAUUUGGGUCUGGUCUCUGUUGCUGUAUCUUGCUCAGCUCCUGGUAUUUCGUCUUCAGGGCAAGCCUGGCUGACCUAGCUGUUGAAAAAAGAUGAGACAAAUUGUAUCUGCUUGGACAUCUGAGGAGUUAUUUCUCCAGAUGGCUAUUUCCAGGCUCUCAUGGCAGUUCAUCAUGGUGGCCUGCAGCUCGCAGGGCAGUGGGCACGGCCCCAAGCUGCUAGAGCUCAGGGAGUGUUCGGACACUGCUCUCAGCCAUAGGGGUUGUGUAUGGGUGGUGCUGUGUGGAGCCAGGGCUGGACUCAGUGCUGCUUGGGGAUUCCUUCCAACCCAGGAUGUUCUAUGAUUCUAUAGUUCUCCAAUCCUAUGGCAAGAAAAAAUGCGGUAGCAACGAAGGAGGCUCUUGAAAGCUCUACCUUUGGGGUGAGCAUCCAAAUUCUGCUGCAGAACUCACCUUCCAAAUCUUCCCCUCCCCAGGCCCUUUCUUUUUAUUUUUCUGCAGAGUUUCUCUGCCCAGAGCAGAUCCAGGAGUUUCUUUAAUCAUUUUGCACUUGCAGCCACCUUUGCAUGGAUCCCUGUUCCUGGUGUGCCUGCUGCAGGUUUUUACAGAUGUCCCCUGCAUUACAGCAUUUGCACACUGUGGUUCCCAGACAUUUCCUUCUAAUGGAUUUUGCAUUAGUAGAGAGUAUCGGGAAAUCUAGUACCAAAAGGUUAAUGCACAUCCAUUAGUCCUUUCUUUCCCCCUCUUUUUUAUGUGCUGGUAGAAGGCAACCAAUUUCAGUAAAUACAUUAGGUCUGGAAGGAGGCUGGAAACACUUGAAAUUCUAUAUGUGCAAAGCUGUGGGACGAUUAAUAUUGUCCUGUUUGAGCACUGCAGGGGUUGCAGAUGCUGAGUGAUAGCUUUCAAGCAUUUUCCAGCCUUACAAUCCUUUUCCUCACAAGCAAAGCUGGGGGCUUUGAGACCAGCUUUUAUAUUUUUCGUUGAGAGGACUACUUACUCUGACACUCCAGUGUUUUGAAUGAAGCAGUGCUUUCACCCACAUGCUCCCAGCUAUUAGGCUAAGGACAAUAUCAAAAUUCCAGCUGUUGAGUGGACAGCUGAGCUAGCUUUGGAAACUAGACUGCCUCUGAACCUUCAGCAAAUGGCUUUCUCCCUCCUCCCCUCAAAGCAGCAAUUUAUUUCCUGCUAAUUGGAGCAAAGUUGAACCCUAUCUGUAGCUCAUUGCUUUCCUUGACUUGCUCUUUAGACAAGGUCAGGCCUUUCCAGUCUAUUACCCUAAUGACCACAAGUAGCAAGUGGGAGGAAGGGUUGGCUGCUUGUUUUGCAUCCUGAUGUUAUGAUUUGCAGAACUUGCUAUGUUCUUGAACUGAAAAACUUGCAUUUUAGCAAUGCAGACUUCUGAAAGCUAGGAAUUUGAGCCAUGAUACUUUCAUGCUCAUUGUCCUUAUGUUUAGCACUUGGUCAGCAUGGGCUGAGAAUCCUCACUGUUGGAGACACCUGACUGGAGAGCCACACCCCCACUCUCAUCCCGCACCUUCCCACUGUUAUUUGCAGAUACCACAUUGAUGUUUAGGCUGAGUGCAUGUUUCUGCAUUAAAACCUGUAGUCCAUGGAGAAAAUCUGCUCUGGUCUUACUGGAGCCCUGCUGUGGUCACCUCUGCAAUGAGCUUUGCAGAGUCACAGAACCACUAAGGUUCUCUCUAAGCUCCCUCAGCUGCUCCCUGUAAGACUGGUACUCCAGACCUCUUGUUGCCCUUCUCUGAACACCCUCCAGGGCCUCCAUGUCUUUCUUGUAGUGAGAGGCCCAAAACUGAACACAGCACUCAAGGUGUGGCCUUACCAGUGCUGAGUAGAGUGGUGAUAGCCUCCCUGCUCCUGCUGGCAACACUAUUUCUGAUACAAGCCAGGAUGCCAUUGGCCUUCUUGGAUACCUGGACACACUGCUGGCUCAUGUUCAGCCAAGUGUUCCCUGAGCCUGUAGCAUUGCCUGGGGUUGUUGUGGCCAAAGCUUGGGAUCUGGCACUUGGUGUUGCUGAACUUCAGUCCAUCCAGAUCCCUCUGUAGAGCCUUCCUACCCCCAGGCAGAUCAACACGUCUUCCCAACUUGGUGUAAUAUGCAAACUUACUGAGGGUGCACUCAAUGCCCUCAUCCAGGUCAUCAGUAAAGAUAUUAAAUGAGCUGCUGCAGUUGGUCUACUGCCAUUCCUAGUGCUCAGUUCUGCAAGGUGCAGAUCUUCGAUGUCCCCAUGCCCCUAUGUUAACCAACGACUCUCCAGAUCCCAAGUAAGUUCUCCUCUUCUGGGGGCUUGAUGACUUGAGGAUAUUCAGCAGAAAUCCUGGUAGGCAAAGUUGGAUGCAUGAGCAGCUCUGGGUCUACAAGUGCAAAAUGUUACAGAAUCAAGGCAGAAAGGACAAAAAUAAUCUCGUGUGCUCUAAUUUCACUUAAUGAGAAGCCAUUCACAUUUUACUAUUUCUGAUCUGUAUCUUUUUAUUCCUAUUCUAAUGGUAAUUAUUAACAGAGAAAUCACUUGAUGGCUUUCACAUACCCCCACACUUCAAGUAUCUAACAACCUAUUGAUUCGAUAGAUUGGCAGCAUUCCCAAUUGAGGAGCUGCAGUUUGAUUUGCUUUUUUUUUUUUUUAAACACUUUGAUCAUCUCACAUGCAAAGGAUAAUUAUUUUUGUGGUUGAAACAAGGGAUGGAUUGCAGAUCGAUGGAGUCUGGAGUGUGUUCCUGUGUGCAAUCCCCAGUUGGAACAAGCGGUGUCUGCUUUUUCUCAUGAGAAAGAUAUUGAAAUAUUAUCUGUGGGUUGGAUUUCUGAUCCUUGAGUCACUACAGUCAGCAAUGGAAAGGUGUGCCAUGUAUGUGUAUGGAAGUAAUCUGACAAAAGACAAUAGUACUAUUUGAUGCUAUGACUAUAUCUUUAUUUUCCCUGAGUACUGUACAUACUGGUGUGGAAAACUCCAGGACCUCUUGCCUCUGAGGGCUCUCCAAUCUGUACUGGGUGAGUCUGCAAUAGUGCACAGGUCCAGCUGUGGUCCUGCUUCUGCAGAACGUCACAGGUUCUUCUAGAGGAGUGAAGCAUAAUGGACAAAGAUUUGCUCUAAAAGAAGAUAAAUGUUUAACCUCUAUGAAGAGAAGCUCUCUGUCUUUGCGGAACUUUUUUGCCCAUGACCCUGAGGGGCUUCCCAACUAGUCUGUUAAUUAUCCAUAUGCAGCUGAAAUGGCCCAGUUUGAUCAUGCAAUGCCUAGGUGACCUGAGGACCUAUGGGGAAUGAGACAGUGGGAGAACUUGAAUUACAGGUUAGUAGUUUUCCCAUCUCAUAUAUCAUGGACUGAAGGCUUUAUGACUUCAGAGCUUACUGUAUUAAUUUUAUGCAUGAGUGCUUUAUUUUUUUCCAUACAAGAUAUAUCACUGGCUUACUGGAGCAAAAUAUCAUUAGACCUGGAAAGGGAUUUGGUCACUUACACUUUGUCACUGAGGAUCGUUGCACAUAGAUCAUGCAGGCCUGUACUGUGCCAUUUCUUAUGUGUUUAUUAAGUGAUUAUAACUAUCGAUCAGUGUGCCUUCAGGGGACACUUGAGAUCUGUUAUUGUAGCAACAUUUCAUUUAGAAAAAUGACACGCAUGCCUUGAUUUGUGCCUUGGGAGGGCCUGUUGAAGGGCUUGUCUCAUAAGAAGACAGUCUGUUCUGGUGGAAUCAGCUCUGCUCCACUGUUGUGCAUCUUCUCCCAUCCCAUGCUGAGUUGGUACAUCUGAUGCUGGCAUUGGAGACAGGAGACUGGAUCACCUGGAGUCCUGCCCUGCCUGGGCCUGAGCCUUUGGUUUUAUCUAUAUCAGUUCAGGACAUCAGUCUUGAAAACACGACUUUUCAGAAGUGCUAAGCUCUCAGAGUCAUUAACUGUUUCAGUGAUAAUUACUUUUUUUUUUAAUAUAUGAACCCAUAAAAUAAAGCUGUUUUCUCUGAAAGCUUAAUCUACUUCCACACAAGUUAACACAAAAGAGGUGGUAAGCAUACCCAUGACUGGAGGAAGAUGCUCGUGUUCCAUCUGCUUGUGUCCAUGUUUCCCCUUCCCAUAGCAGAAGGGAUGUGCAGGAGUGCCCUCUGGAGCUGUUCUUGUCUCAAGUAGAGACCAAGCAGCAGUUGCCAUCUCUAGACCUUGCUUUUGGUUUGUUCCCAAGAUGAUUAGUGGAAGGACCACAGCUAGACCUGUGCACCAUUGCAGAUUCACCCAGCACUCAUUGGAGAAGUCACUUCAAGUUAAACAUUCAAAGAAUUCUUUUCUUUGUCAGUCAAUACAGACAGAUUGAGUUUCUAGGAAAAAAACAAAGGAACUUGUAAAACAUUGCUCAUGAGAGCAACUGGAGGCUGAGCCUCUUUUGGAAACUGAUGCUUCUUUAGGUUGUUUCUUUUUCCUUAGAAUUAUGUUUAAAGUGUUUUGUGCUGAGUACUUAAAGAACAACCUGGAAAUGUGGCUGGUCUCUGUUUCUGUAUUUCCACUUACUUGUAACUGAACAAUACAAGCCCACCUUUGAUUAAGUGAUCCAUGAAAGAAGUGCUAUCUGGCUCUUAAUUGUAAAUUAAUACUUCUGUAAUUCAUUAAUGAAAAGGAUGGAGAUGAGAGGCAGUAGGUAAGCAGUAAGGAGCCUGCAUAAAUUCAUGAACAAAACUGAUUGAAAUCUGCAACUGCACCCUGAGACUGAGCAGUCUGUACACAGGGAAAUGGUGUAGAUAUGAUUUGCAGCCAGAUACCUGGAGAAGGAGGAAUUUCCUUGUGUUACAUGACUGUUCUUUUAUUAGUUUGAUGAUGUACAGUGGGGCUAUUACUCUUGGAAAUGGCUUGUUAGUUAACAUUUCAUUUUCCUUCCCAAAGUUAGCCCUCGAUAGUAGCAAGAUGAAACACAGCUCCCUGCCAUUGGCUAUCCCCAAACUUUAUUAAUACCAAUUGUUGCUGCAAACGAUCAGAACAAGUAAUGAAGAUCUCAUUUUGCAUGUAAGCAUACGCUCACCCUUAAUCAUGUGGAGUUUCCACAGCGGGGGAAGAGUGAAAAAUUUGUUAAUAAAAAAAUAAUAAAAUUCAUAAUACAAUUGCCUUGGUAGUUAUGUCACUGUUAUACCUGCUGCUUCUCUUUAGGAAUUUGAGACCACACACUAAUUUAAUAUAACGACAUUGGCCCAUUUCUUGUUGUGCUCUAUCUUAAUGAUGUGCUUAUUUGAAGGGAAUGUGAGUCAGCUGUUUUUUUUGUCCUUUAUUUUUGUGUUUUAAAACCUACUCAAUUUCUCUUUUCUCUUUAGUUGUAACAGAAAGGCUCUGACACUUGAAGGUUUCCCUAGGGCAAGGCUUGAGAACGAUCACCCACUGGCUGCCCCUGCACAUGAAGUUUCAGGCACGCUAUUGUUUGAAAACUUUGAAAAGGGAUGGAUGGUAUUGGCAGAGAGCAGCUGAUAAACCAAGGUGACGAUGGCUUUGUUCGCGGUGCCAGAAGGGAGCGCAUCCUCAGCCCAAGCACAGCAGUGGCUGCACCAGUGCUUGACCCACCCCAGCUAAGGAUCUGCCCUCUGCUGAAACGCAGAAUGGGGAAGAAAUGAAAAUACAAAGGCAGCUGUGCACCAACCGAGACCGCCUCGAUGCAUGUGCUGGUUGGAUUUGCCAUCGUCACUGCUAAGAGCAGGUGCUGGGCUGAAGGCUGACCGAAAUAACCACCCUUGUCCUAAUGGCAAUGGGCAAAAAGCAGCAAACGGAGUGUGAGCGGUGACUGGCACAGUACUAGUGAAUCAGAGGGAGAGCAACCGGCCCCAGCAAAGAGCUGUGGGGAGACACCGUGCCUCUCUGACCUGGGUAAGAUGCCGUGCUCUUGAUGUCCUCGUGAGACAUGGCCACAAGCUCACGGUGCCCAUGUCAACAUCCUCAGCAUUGCUGUCCCCACGUGGUGGGGAAGGUCAGCACAGACCCAGCGUUGGGCUCAGCCCCAUCCCCGCUGCUGGCCCAUGCCCCCUCCUGUCCUUAGUGCCCCCCCACAGACACCACGGAGACCACCCGCUGCUUCGCUCAUAGCUGUAUUGCCCCGACCAUCCCAGCUUCGGCUUAAAAAAGUUAUCACAAAUAAAUCACAACAGCAAAAGAAAUGACUGUGGAAAACCGCGAUCCGCGCCGUCGGAAGUGAGAGCAGUGAGCGAAGCGGCGCCUCGGAGGCAUCGCCAGUCAAAGAGCUUGCGCCGGACGUUGCAUUUUCUCUUCUUC
rnacentral:lncRNA from 1 species